rnacentral:rRNA from 1 species
GUCUGGUGCCAGCAGCCGCGGUAACUUCAGUUCCAAUAGCGUAUAUUAACAUUGUUGCAUUUAAAAGGCUCGUAGUUGAAUUUAUUUUUAUAAAUUUUAUAUAAGUAGUAUUAUUUUAUAAUAAAAUUAUUUAAAUUUAUUUUUUAUAAUUUUAUUAUAUAUUAAACGGUAAUAUUAUUUAUAAUUUAUAAAAAAAUUUUAUGUUAUAUUAUUUAGUAAUAGGUAAUAUAAUAUAAAUAUUACUGUGAAAAAAUUAGAGUGUUUAAAGCAUGUAUAUAAAAUUAAAAAAUAUAUUUUCUGAAUAUAUUUUUUUAGCUUGAAUAUAUUAGCAUGGAAUAAUAAUAUUAUAAUAUUUUUAUAUUAUUCUGUUGGUUAAAUAUAAAAAUAUAUGAUUAAUAGGGACAAUUGGGGGUAUUUAUAUUUCAUAGUCAGAGGUGAAAUUCUGGGAUUUGUGAAAGAUAAACAAAUGCGAAAGCAUUUACCAAAAAUGUUUUCAUUAAUCAAGAACGAAAGUUAGGGGAUCAAAGAGGCUUAGAUACCCUCGUAG